GAUGAACGCUGGCGGCGUGCCUAAUACAUGCAAGUCGAGCGAACAGAUGAGGAGCUUGCUCCUCUGACGUUAGCGGCGGACGGGUGAGUAACACGUGGAUAACCUACCUAUAAGACUGGGAUAACUUCGGGAAACCGGAGUUAAUACCGGAUAAUAUAUUGAACCGCAUGGUUCAAUAGUGAAAGACGGUUUUGCUGUCACUUAUAGAUGGAUCCGCGCCGCAUUAGCUAGUUGGUAAGGUAACGGCUUACCAAGGCAACGAUGCGUAGCCGACCUGAGAGGGUGAUCGGCCACACUGGAACUGAGACACGGUCCAGACUCCUACGGGAGGCAGCAGUAGGGAGUCUUCCGCAAUGGGCGAAAGCCUGACGGAGCAACGCCGCGUGAGUGAUGAAGGUCUUCGGAUCGUAAAACUCUGUUAUUAGGGAAGAACAAAUGUGUAAGUAACUAUGCACGUCUUGACGGUACCUAAUCAGAAAGCCACGGCUAACUACGUG
rnacentral:rRNA from 1 species